UACUUGAUCAGCACACUCUGGUGACAUGACAGCUGUAAAGUUGACUACUGAAUUCAGUGGAAAGACCGUGAGCAUUAUUGUUCACGGCUGAACACAAAUCUGUGGGCCACAUCGUGACCUUCUCCGGGGCCCACAGAACGCAACCGGGCCCUUCUUUGGGCCCAAGGAAAAAUGGGCUGCUCUUUUGGGCCCACGUGGGCCAUUUUGCCUCCGUUUUGGGCCGGCCGUGAAAUGGCUAGAGCUGAAAUUGCAGGUGUUGAUGACGAUCGAAAGCUGGAUGCUAAUUCAAAAAAAAAGAAAAGAAAAAGAAAAGCUUGGAUGCUGCACUUGUAACUGAAGCUGGUGACAGCAAUAGUACAACCUUGAAUUGUCUCUUCUGAUCUGCUGAUGCAUUUCUAGAUAAUGCAUAUCCAGCAGAUUUGGGUGAUUAAUCCAAGUAAUGAUCUCACUCCACUGAUAGUGGAAAUUGCUGGCUUCAGCAUCAAAAACUGCAUUGUAUGUUUGUUUUUUCGUUCUUUUUUUUGGCAUUGUUUCAGCUUCUUUAUAUGAAGUACAAAUUCUACACUCCAGCUUGGCCUUAAAGUGAUCGAACACCUAGCUUGCACGGCCAUGGCGCCCAUGGCGCAAGAUGUCGCCGAGUACCUGAGCAUCUUCUUGGCUCUCGUCGUGGCCCCUCUCCUGCUGCUCAGGGUGGCGAGGCGGGCGCGCGGCAAUGGCGCCGGCCGGCCGAGGCUUCCGCCGGGGCCGUGGCGGCUGCCGGUCAUCGGGAGCCUGCACCACCUGAUGGGCAAGCCCCACGUGCACCGCGCCAUGGCCGACCUCGCGCGCCGGCACGGCGCGCCGCUCAUGUACCUCAGGCUCGGCGAGGUCCCUUUCGUGGUGGCCUCGUCGCCCGACGCCGCGCGCGAGGUCCUCAGGGCGCAGGACGCCAACUUCGCGUCGCGGCCGUGGAGCCCCACCCUGCGCGUCAUGAUGGCCGACGGCGAGGGCCUCGCGUUCGCGCGCCACGGCGCGCACUGGCGCCUGCGCAAGAUCUGCGUCCUCGAGCUGCUCGGCCCGCGGCGCGUGCGGUCGUUCCGCCGCGUCAGGGAGGAGGAGGUGGCGCGCCUCCUCGCCGCCGUCGCCGCCGCGGCCGCGGCCGGGGCCGACGCCGUCGUGAACGUGAGCGAGCGCGCCGCCGUGCUGGUCACGGACACGACGUGCGCGCCAUGAUCGGCGACAGGUUCGAGAUGCGGGACGAGUACCUGGAGGGCGUGGCCGAGGUGGGGAAGCUCCUGCUCGGGCUCAGCCUCGGCGACCUGUUCCCGUCGUCGAGGCUGGCCAGCCUCGUCAGCGGCACGGCGCGCCGCGCCGCAGCGAGCCACCGGAAGAUGUUCGAGCUCAUGGACUGCGCCAUCAGGCAUCACCAGGAGAGGAAGGCCGCCAUGGACGCCGACGAGGACAUCUUGGACGUGCUGCUUCGGAUACAGAAGGAAGGAGGUCACGAUGCCCCGCUCACCAUGGGAGAUGUCAAGGACACCAUACUUGAUCUUUUUGCUGCUGGGACGGAGACAUCAACAGCAACACUCCAAUGGGCUAUGUCCGAGGUGGUGAGGAACCCAAGAAUAAUGCAAAAGGCACAAGCCGAGCUACGUAACAAGCUUCAAGGGAAGCCAAGUGUGACCGAAGAUGACCUAGUUGGCCUAACCUACUUAAAGCUCGUCAUCAAGGAAACCCUAAGACUGCACCCCGCCGCACCAAUGCUUGUCCCAAGGGAGUGUGGGGAGUCGUGCAAGGUGCUAGGGUACGACGUGCCCAGGGGCACUAACGUGCUCAUCAACGCGUGGGCGAUUGGCAGAGACCCCAAUUACUGGGAUGACACGGAGACGUUCAAACCAGAUAGGUGUGAGAAUAACAAGUAUAACUUUAGAGGCACCGAUUUCGAGUACAUACCGUUUGGAUCUAGACGAAAGAUCUGCCCUGGUCCGGCGUUCACACAUGCCAUCUUGGAGCUCGCGCUCGCCGCUUUGCUGUACCACUUUGACUGGGAGCUCCCCUGCGGAGUUGCUCCAGGGGAGGUGGAUAUGGCCGAGGAGACAGGCGUCGUCGUUCGCCCGAAGAACGACCUCUACCUGCGUCCGGUCGUCCGUGUGCCGCCGGGAGCUGCCUCGAGCGGCAAUGGUGGCACCUAGCCGUGCACCGCAUCUACUACCUAGCCUUAAUUAUGUGAAAAUGUAACCUGGUUGGAUCGAAUGGAUUAAGUGCUAAAUAAAAUGGUUUAUGUGUUCAUGUUUGUUUGUGUUCGUCACAUGUCACAUGCAUAAGAGAGAGAAUCAGACUAUCAGAGAAGGCGAGGUCCAGAAGCAGGAUCAAUGUUAUGCACCUUGCAAUGUCGAUAGCAAUUGGCAUUAGUCCUAAACUGCUCAGUCAUCGUGCAGGAUAUUGGUGCAGGUAUCCCAUAGAGUCAUACUCUGGUUCUGUAAUCACCAGGCAUUCAGAAAUCAAAACCGUGAAAACUAAAGACAGGCAUAUUCAUGCUCCACAUAAUUCUCCAAGAAGAAAUUUGGAUAAAAAUAUUGAUAUAAAUUUUUAAAAGUACGGAACAAUGGAAACUUUCAUCUGAUAAGCAUUCUUUUAUCGGAAUAAAUAUAUCAGUGGAUACGUACGAUACAAUGAACAGAUCCUCUCAUGCUUUGUAUAAAUUGUAUUACAUGCUACUACAAUACAGUGAACAGGUCCUUUCAUACUUUGAAUUACAUGCUACAAUACAUCUCACCAUACUUUACAUACAAUCAAUGGUCUGAGAGAAGGGUCAAGCACUCAAGCUUCCUGGUGCACACAUUAAUCUACACCUCAAUUGAUGCUUCACCGUUGCUUGCCUUUCUCCAUUUUGAGGAUCGUUGCUUGUUUAUGAUUUGGACGUAAGGGUGAAUAGUCUAAGUGUCUAACCACACCAUGAGCAAUAGGUCAACCCCUUGCAUCAUAUGAUAUCUUGGUAUGAUUGAGUAUAAGACUAUGAGAGGGAAUAUUGCCCUCAAGAUCUGUUAAAAGACAUCAG